GAGCUGUGGUUUUAGCUUUCAUUGACACAAACUUUAGCCAAUAGGACCCUCACCUAUUCAUGGACAGGAAGGGAGAAAACUGAAAGAAAUAACUUGGUUCAGGGGCAGAAACUCCGAAAUUAAAUUCUCUGCCAUCGUUGAGAUUGCUCAUAUGGUCAAGACCAAACGAGAUGUCUUGCUGUCAUGGAAUAUUUCACAGCGCUUGGAAGAUUAAAACAGCAAAGAGACAAGGUGGACAUCAGCUGGUCAUGGCUGGGUUUGGCCCAGCUGGGACCUCCCCAUGAACUCUAACGCUUCAUGUCCAAUCUACACCACAAGGCGGCGCACUUGGACAUUCAAGUGCUGCCAGCUGGGCCCGCAGACAGAUUCCUCCAGAUGUGCUACGCUCUGAUUGGCUCGUCGACGUUGUUUUCUCACUGGCCUCGUCUCACUGCGUCUCAUAUUUCCAUUCUGAUGCGGAAGAAAGCGCUAAGGAUUAUGGGUGCAGUGGGUCCUCUCAUGUCGGGGGUGACUGUCCACCUGUCAGCCAGCUGGUGAGGAAAAGAGCACACAGCCAAUAAGAUUCGAUUUUGAUCAGCUGCUGUAUGCUCGGAGGGAAAUGUAGAACCAUUGCAUCCUUGAUAGGGAAAUGCGAGAGUAUAUCUGAUGUUAUCGUGUCAGAUCGCGGCGAAGAAUUACAGAAAAGAUCAGAUGGUAACACUUCAAAUGGCAUGACUUGAAGCAUGAAGAACAUCGACAGAUGUUUAUUUUAAUACACCUUGUCUAUCUGCGUCUGUAGAUUUCUCCUAAAUUUAGCAAAAGAUAGCAUUAGAUAAUGCCUCAUUUGCAUAUUUAAACGUAAUUAUAGAGAAGUUUCAUGGUGAUAUAUAUUAGUUAUUUGUUGCCCCUCACCUGCAUGGAAUCAUUCGUUAUAUUUAUUCAAUCGUUUAUUGUGGCUUCCUCUUUAUUUUGUUGUGUGUUCGUCCAUACUGUACCACAACUUUGAGUACAAAGAGCCAUUUCAGUGAGAGUUAACAGAGUGAAAUUUCCUUUUUUCUAUUUAGUAUGCAUUUGAGGGUGUCUCAAAGCAUUUUAAAAGGGGACAACGUGAUUCUGAACAAGGAUGCCCGUCCACAUUUUUCUACUGUAAAAUAAAGUAAACAAAGCAUAUGUGGCCCACACACUCAGACACCGGCAGCUGUCUGUCGAGGAAGUUUAGAGAUAGAGCAGAGAGAAAGAGAGAGUUAGUGAUUAAAGAGGAGGGGCGCGCACACACACACCUAUAAUCCUGUCACAGACUGAAGCAAAGAGAGAGACGACAGAGAGCAGAAAAGAUCAAAAACAGGGUUGAAGGAAGCAGAGAGUGAUGGAUAAAAAGGUUCAGACACACUGCCCUCUGUGACACACACAGAUAGAGGCACUAAUUAAACAGAGCACUGCACACCACACACACACACACACGCACACACACACACACACAUACACAAAGCAGACAUGCAGGGGCGGUUGAGGUUUCCAAAUUACAGCCUAUAUUCCAGUCGCUUUUUGUCUUUCUCCUCUGAAAACUUGCAACGGAUUUUCCAACGCAGUAAUACUGUCGGUAAAAACUAGAAACUAUGAAACUCUGCCCGUCUAUGAAAAACAAAAAAUAAAUAACGAAUUAGCAUUUCUAAAUUGUGGAGUGUGCCCCCCCGUUUCCAGUCUUAAGGCUAAGCUAAGCUAUCCAGCUUCUGGUGGUAGCUUAACAUUUACCACACGAGAGGUAUCCAUCUUCUCAUCUAGCUCUCAGCCAGAAAGCAAAUUAGCAUAUUCCCCAACAUGUCGAACAAUAAGGUUUUUUAAAUCAUUUGAUUUCACACUCCAACUGCAUUGCAUUUCUUUCAGAAUGAAUAAAGAUCUUGAAGUCAAUGGGUUCUUUAAUGUGUUUUUGGUAAAAUGCCUGAAAUCAGGUCUGUGGUUUACACAAGCUUAAGAGGUUCAAACGUUUUGCUCUACGAUAUAUAGAAUACGUCAGUAAAUAUCCCUCUUGUAAAUUGAGGAAGCUUUCACGGGUCUUAAAAAAGAAAGUUGGUAACAACGGGCUAAAUGAGACAACAAAAUGAAUUCACACCAACUAGUUCGCCUUCACGGCCUAGUUAUGUACAAUAGCACUCAUGCGAUCGUGGUGUAGUUUGUUUAUAGCCUAGCGUUAGCUUUUUACUUCUGCAAAUUGCACUUACGCUUCAAAAAUGAUUAAAAGUAGAGUUAAAGUGUAAACCUUGGAAGUAUCGUACAUUUUUAAUCCAGGAGAGAAAAGGAGAAAGAAGACAAAGGAAACACAAACACAAGAAAGUUAUCUUGCUCCAGCUAGCGAGGAACUCUUUUGCUGAGACCGUUGAUAGACAAAGAAUGAUAACCCUCAUCUCUGAAGUAUUUUGGCUAAUUUUCUGUCUGUUUAUUUGUGAAGUGAAACAAACUGAAAUCAACGCUGUGACACACAGCAACAUCUAUCUAAAGUUCGCUAACAUUGGCCACUAGCCAAGUGCUGUUCAUAUCAGACCAUGUUAUGCUUCAGCAACUAAUUCGCUGGAUGUGUUGGACUGAACACUGAUUGUUUAUAUUGCUUAUGAAUUUAGCUUAACAUUUGUAAGAGGAGAAUUGUGUAAAUUCUUCUUUCAAAAGUUCCAUAAUCUCACUUUAAGCCCGACUAAUUGUUAUAG